rnacentral:RNase_P_RNA from 1 species
GGAGUCGGUCAGGCAGUCGCUGCUUCGCCAUCGGGCGGCGCGGAGGAAAGUCCGGGCUCCACAGGGCAGGGUGCCAGGUAACGCCUGGGCGGCGCGAGCCGACGGAAAGUGCCACAGAAAACAGACCGCCCAAGCGCCCCGCGGGGCGCCGGCAAGGGUGAAAAGGUGCGGUAAGAGCGCACCGCGCCGGCGGCAACGUCGGCGGCACGGCAAACCCCACCCGGAGCAAGGCCGAAUAGGGGGGCAGACGGUGUGGCCCGCAUCCGCCCCCGGGUAGGCUGCUUGAGGCGUGCGGCGACGCACGUCCCAGACGAAUGACUGUCCGCGACAGAACCCGGCUUAACGACCGGCUCCUUCU